rnacentral:misc_RNA from 1 species
GUCCUGUUCUUCCUUUUAUUUUGUUUUUCUGUAAUUAUCAAGUUUUGAUUGAGAUAAUGUUUUAAGUUGCAAACUGUUACACUGUGACACUGUUACCUAGCAAACACGAAUGAUAAUGUACCAAAAUAAAUGGUGGGAGAGCUUCUUGGUCAAUACGUAGAAGCUUAGAAAAUUUGCUGUUUUGUCAUUUGCCAGUUAUGCAUGGUGCACAAAUACUGAUUUCAUAUUGAUGGUUAAAUUUUUUGCCUCAGUAUAUAAACUAACCUCAGGCCACUUUUAGGGAACUGUAGUUGGAGCAUAA